rnacentral:rRNA from 1 species
UACGUAUGGUGCAAGCGUUAUCCGGAUUUACUGGGUGUAAAGGGAGCGUAGACGGAGUGGCAAGUCUGGUGUGAAAACCCGGGGCUCAACCCCGGGACUGCAUUGGAAACUGUCAAUCUAGAGUACCGGAGAGGUAAGCGGAAUUCCUAGUGUAGCGGUGAAAUGCGUAGAUAUUAGGAGGAACACCAGUGGCGAAGGCGGCUUACUGGACGGUAACUGACGUUGAGGCUCGAAAGCGUGGGGAGCAAACAGG